rnacentral:lncRNA from 1 species
GAUCUUCCUUUUCACAAACAAAUUUACAUCGUUUCAACAAAUAAAAACACAAACAAAAUCAAUGGCUAACACAAUUAGGCUUGAAUCUAUGGAAACCGGUCAGAACCAGCUAUAACUAGUAAUGUAAUAUAAAGAUUAUAUUUAAAAUUAUAUUCUCUUAAAAAAAUCCAUCAAGGAAUAACAAAUAUUUGAAUCCCAAAAUAUCAUCACAAAGAGGCCUUCUCAGUGUCAAUGUCAAGGAAUCAACUUUGUUAGUUUAUUUUAAAAAGCAUUAAUAAAACUCUUGAGAUUCAUAAUAAGGUUUAACAUAAUUCAUCAUCACUUCUGUCUCUUCAACUACUUCUCAUCAGCAAUAUCACUCGGAAGAUCUUCCCCGGACGGUAUUUUUCCGGGAUAGUUAGUCACAGGAGGAUCCGAACCGUUCAUGCUGCAAUUCAACAGGCAGAUCAGGCAAAAAUAAGACUAUAGAAACUGUGUAUGUAUCAAAUAAACUUACCAUUUAUCCACAAGAACUACUGAACGAAGCUCACAGUUAGCAAAACUGCAACAGUUAGAAGUUAGGGGGUAUUGAGAAAACAAUACUACAAUACUAAAUGAUCGAAAAGAGAGAAGAAGAAGAGGAAGCUUACUGUGAAGAAAUCUCGCUUUUCACAGCUGGAUCACAAUCGUUUCCAAAUGAGUUUAAUGUGUGAUACAAGAACCCACUAUGAGUAACAACCGCAAUUUCCUUUUCUUUCCUUGUACUCAACCUGAAGAUCAGUCAAAAGACCAUGUGUCAAGACUAUCAUACUAACCUAGUCUUAUGUGAGAAUAAACCUAUCAAGUAGAUAGAGAUGUUUAAAAGAGUUGCAGAUAUUCACCAGUUCAUGAAUUUCACGCCUCUGGCUGCGAGAUCUUUGUCCUCCUCUCUGACCUCAGGCUUCCACAAAACAUCUUCAUCAGUUUCUACCUGUAAAUCGGCAGAAUAUGAGAUAAUAGUAAAAACAAAAGAGAGAAGAGCACAAAGAAUUUGGUUAGGGAGACUUGCCAAUGAAAAAUCAAUUGCAGGGAAUAAUUGGCGGUACUUGGUGAUACUGUUUCUUCUGUCACAAGGAUGAACACCCUGAAACCAAAACAAUAUCAUUCAUUACAACUGGUUUUCUAUUACCCUGAAAAUGUGUGUGAAAAAUAAAAACAUACCAAAUGUUCUCGGCAAGAUUCAACUGCAAUGAACGGUGGACGAUUUAAGCUUGAUAUAGCAGGACGGUCGCUGUCUCCUGCACCUGCCUUCAUAAGCGGAGGUGCAUCAACGCCAUCUAUACAACCUUCCCCUCCAAAAGUUCCAACUGCAGUUUGCAAAGUCCUAAAACAAAAGUAAGCAUUGUGGUGAAGGGUAAACAACAUAAAAUAAAUCACUAAAUAUUGUUAUCUUGAAAUAAUAUUUUUCUAUUAUAAAAAUUGAAAAAUAAGAUAUGAAAUUAUUUAUAAUUAAAUAUUAAAAAAAGCAUUUGUAUAAAUAAAAAUAUUUGUCAUAAAUAAAUAAUUUGAUGUUUGAUUUAAUUUUUUUUAAAAAUAAACUAAUAAAUAUUAAAAAAAAAUAGGUCUGCAUGUGCGGACAAAACACCUAGUGUAGUCAGAUUUAGUCUCCAAAAUUCUUUUGAUAAAAUUUAAACUUCUCUAGAAUUAAGAGACAAUUAACUCAAUAUACCUAAUAUGAGCCAAAAUUAAGAAACUACCCUAAUACAGGUAAACUAACAUUUACUGUAACAAAAUUAACACUACUUGACUAUUUUAUCCUUUUGACAGAUCACGUGACUACCUGUGAAUAAGAAAGAGAAAGCAUUAAUCACCAUCUUCAUCAUUUAUCUUCUUCUUUUCCACCAAUAUCAAUCUCUUCUCUUAUUCUUCAACAACGGUGACAACUUUUUGUCAAAUCCACAUCUCUCAAUUUAUUUUAUGAAUCCUCCAACCACAGCCAAUUUUGUUAUUGUCGCAGUCAUACACAGCUCCUUGUCAUCGCUUCGUCCUGACGACUGUCACAAUAGUUCAAUCGACAAUGGUGUUCUAUCUAUUCCAAUGAAUAAUUGACUCAAAAAAUACAUGCCUCCCAAAAAUCUCUGGAGUUAUGGAACAUUAAACCAAAAUCACAAAAAAAAUCUCCAAUUAGGUUUCCCAAACUGAAUAUCAAUGGAAGAGUUAGUGAUUGUUGCAUCAUUUUAGCGAAUGGGUAAUAUGCAAUUCUUUCAAAGAGACGAAACACAACCCAUUGAGGAAUUUGGGUGUAAAUUACUAGAACGCUAACAAAAAUGUUAAACACUACACUUUAACAUAAAAUGUUAUAUGGAUUGUUAGUGGACAGCUUGUCAAUAUGAAGGCAUGCUUCCAAUGAAUGUAUCAAUGUAUAUUAACAUACCACAUGUUUUGUUAGCGAGUUAUUUUUACAUAUUAAUCGUUAAUAUAUUUUGUAACAUCUAACAAAAUAUGUUUCAGUUAAUGAAAGCUAUUUUUAAUAUCUUACCAUCCGUUUCUUAAAGCGGCAACAUGUUUUGUAACAUCUAAUCAAACAUGUAUCAACUAAUGCUCUGUAACAUCCUAUCAAUUAUUUAUGAGUUAGCAGCACCUACAAUUUGAUAACAUAUAACCAAACUUGUAUCAGCUCACAAUGCCUAAUUUGUAUCAACUAAUCCAAUAUUUAUCGGUUAACAGCUUGUUACAUAGUGGCUACAACUACUAGUGACUAAACUAUAUGAGCUUCAAGUCAUCAUCAUCGAUCUCGCAAAAAAAAUCCACUAUUUCUAUGACUAUUCUCCCAUAAGUCCACAUGCUUUUACCACUAUAUCUUUAGUACACCAUGGAAUCACUUUAAAUACUACAUAUUGUGUUCGACUUCGAGAAAACCGUCGAAACGGUUAUGGUUAUUUUCAAGAGAGAAACACUAAUGGGAGCCAUGGACUGCAUUGAAUAAACAUAUCUAGUAGAAAAUAGAUUCACGGCGGUGGAACGUUGAUGACAAGCUUCGUGAAAUUUUUUAUCCUCGAUGCGACGAGGCUUGAUGACUGUCUCAGUCGAGGUUAUGUUGUUUCCAUUUGUUUCACGGAUAAGGUUUAGAAGAUGACGACAUCAACAACAGAGGGAAGAAGCGAGUGAUGAAGGGAGAUGAAGUUAUGAUUGUAGUUGAAGAAAUAGAUAGAGAAAAUUAUUUUUAGAGAAGAAAAAAAAAUAUAAGAUGUUGCUGAGAAUUUCAAGAGAACACGUGAGAGAGAGAAAGGAGAAUUUGGAUGAGGGCAAAUUCGGAUUAUCAAAUUGUGAAUAGUGUAAAAGACAGUGAAGUGGUAGAUAGCUAAUUAUGGAUUUUUGUAGGUAUAGAGAGCCUAAAUACUCUAGAAUUAAAGGAUCCCUGCUCCACUUUUGUUUGUGUUCUUCCUUCUAUUUAAAUAUAUAAAAACCAUAAAAAAAAAAUACAAUGACUAACUGCGCAAAAGAUGUGUUCUAGUAUUUUUCUACAGCUUGUUCAAUUGCUUUGGGCAACUUGUUCUCAAGUUGUGAUUCGACACGGUCACAUGUAUCAGUUGAGGAGAGCACUAAUAAAAAAUGAUCUUCCUUUUCACAAACAAAUUUACAUCGUUUCAACAAAUAAAAACACAAACAAAAUCAAUGGCUAACACAAUUAGGCUUGAAUCUAUGGAAACCGGUCAGAACCAGCUAUAACUAGUAAUGUAAUAUAAAGAUUAUAUUUAAAAUUAUAUUCUCUUAAAAAAAUCCAUCAAGGAAUAACAAAUAUUUGAAUCCCAAAAUAUCAUCACAAAGAGGCCUUCUCAGUGUCAAUGUCAAGGAAUCAACUUUGUUAGUUUAUUUUAAAAAGCAUUAAUAAAACUCUUGAGAUUCAUAAUAAGGUUUAACAUAAUUCAUCAUCACUUCUGUCUCUUCAACUACUUCUCAUCAGCAAUAUCACUCGGAAGAUCUUCCCCGGACGGUAUUUUUCCGGGAUAGUUAGUCACAGGAGGAUCCGAACCGUUCAUGCUGC